CGAGCGUGAAUCCUUCGGGAAAGUAAAGCGGCGCACGGGUGAGUAACACGUGGGUCAUCUACCUCAGAAUCCGGAAUAACCUGCCGAAAGGCGGGCUAAUACCAGAUAGUUCGCGGAGUCCGUCAUUGGGCACCACGGGAAAGGGAGCUUGUAAGAGCCCUUGUUCUGAGAUGAGCCUGCGCCCCAUUAGCUAGUUGGUAGGGUAACGGCCUACCAAGGCGAUGAUGGGUAGCUGGUCUGAGAGGACGAUCAGCCACACUGGAACUGAAACACGGUCCAGACUCCUACGGGAGGCAGCAGUGGGGAAUUUUGCGCAAUGGRSAMRARWSUCRGACGCAGCGACGCCGCGUGAGUGAAGAAGGCCUUCGGGUUGUAAAGCUCUGUCAUUGAGGGACGAACAUUUUCGUGGUGAAUAGCCAUGAGAACUGACGGUACCUUGAGAGAAAGCACCGGCUAACUCUGUGCCAGCAGCCGCGGUAAUACAGAGGGUGCARGCGUUGCUCGGAAUUAUUGGGCGUAAAGGGUAGGUAGGUGGUCUUAUUUGUCUGGGGUGAAAUCCUUGGGCUCA
rnacentral:rRNA from 1 species